AUGGAGGGGAGGAAGAAUGAGAGAGUGAAGGCCGCCGCCCUCUGCGUGCUCGUCAUCCUGCUGUCGGCCCAGCGGGUGCCGAUCGGGGUUGCCGACCCCACGUCGGCGUUCUGCCAGUGCUACCUGGGCUGCUUUGACCUAGACUGCAGCCGCAAAGGCUGGCAGAGGUGCCAUGAUUACUGCUGCGCCCAAGUGUGCCACUUACCUGGGGACGCCGACUUCGACUUGGAGUGCAGGGGCGGAUAUCACGCCUGCACGGAGUCCACCGGCGACGAUACCACUUCUACUACUACUGGUGAUGCUGCGGCCAGUUACUGGUGCGGCCGCCAUGGCAAGGUCAAGGCCAAGCACGGCUAG
rnacentral:rRNA from 1 species